GGGUGUCUAGCUUAAUUGGAGAAAGCUUUAAACUUUUAAUUUAAUAAUUUAGGUUCGAGUCCUAAGGCACUCA
rnacentral:tRNA from 1 species